rnacentral:rRNA from 1 species
AUUGAACGCUGGCGGCAGGCCUAACACAUGCAAGUCGAACGAGUGGCGGACGGGUGAGUAAUGUCUGGGAAACUGCCCGAUGGAGGGGGAUAACUACUGGAAACGGUAGCUAAUACCGCAUACCAUCGGAUGUGCACAGAUGGGAUUAGCUAGUAGGUGGGGUAACGGCGCACCUAGGCCACGAUCCCUAGCUGGUCUGAGAGGAUGACCAGCCACACGGGAACUCAGACACGGUCAAGACUCCUACGGUAGUCAGCGGUGGGGAAUAGUGCACAUUGGGCGCAAGCCUGAUGCAGCUAUGCCGCGUGUAUGAAGAAGGCCUUCGGGUUGUAAAGUACUUUCAGCGAGGAGGCGUUACUCGCAGAAGAAGCACCGGCUAACUCCGUGCCAGCAGCCGCGGUAAUAC